UACGGAGGGGGCUAGCGUUGUCCGGAUUUAUUGGGCGUAAAGAGCGUGUAGGCGGCCAUACAGGUCAGCUGUGAAAACUCGAGGCUCAACCUCGAGACGUCGGUUGAAACCGUAUGGCUAGAGUCCGGAAGAGGAGAGUGGAAUUCCCGGUGUAGCGGUGAAAUGCGCAGAUAUCGGGAAGAACACCCGUGGCGAAGGCGGCUCUCUGGGACGGUACUGACGCUGAGACGCGAAAGCGUGGGGAGCGAACAGG
rnacentral:rRNA from 1 species